GAUGAACGCUGGCGGCGUGCCUAACACAUGCAAGUCGAGCGAACCCUUCGGGGUGAGCGGCGGACGGGUGAGUAACGCGUGGGUAACCUGCCCUAUACACACGGAUAACGUACCGAAAGGUACGCUAAUACGGGAUAAAGUUGUUGGAUGGCAUCUUCUAACAAUCAAAGCUCCGGCGGUAUAGGAUGGACCCGCGUCUGAUUAGCUAGUUGGUGAGGUAAUGGCUCACCAAGGCGACGAUCAGUAGCCGACCUGAGAGGGUGAUCGGCCACACUGGAACUGAGACACGGUCCAGACUCCUACGGGGGGCAGCAGUGGGGAAUCUUGGACAAUGGGCGCAAGCCUGAUCCAGCCAUGCCGCGUGAGUGAAGAAGGUCUUCGGAUUGUAAAGCUCUUUUGCCAGGGACGAUAAUGACGGUACCUGGAGAAUAAGCCCCGGCAAACUUCGUGCCAGCAGCCGCCGUAAGAC
rnacentral:rRNA from 1 species